rnacentral:rRNA from 1 species
CUCGCGUGUCGUGUCAGGCGCCGCGGUAAUACAGAGGGUGCAAGCGUUAAUCGGAAUUACUGGGCGUAAAGCGCACGCAGGCGGUCUGUCAAGUCGGAUGUGAAAUCCCCGGGCUCAACCUGGGAACUGCAUUCGAAACUGACAGGCUAGAGUCUUGUAGAGGGGGGUAGAAUUCCAGGUGUAGCGGUGAAAUGCGUAGAGAUCUGGAGGAAUACCGGUGGCGAAGGCGGCCCCUGGACAAAGACUGACGCUCAGGUGCGAAAGCGUGGGGAGCAAACAGGAUUAGAUACCCUGGUAGUCCACGCUGUAAACGAUGUCGACUUGGAGGUUGUGCCCUUGAGGCGUGGCUUCCGGAGCUAACGCGUUAAGUCGACCGCCUGGGGAGUAUGGUCGCAAGGCUGAAACUUAAAGGAAUUGGCGGG